rnacentral:tRNA from 1 species
GCGCCAAGAAUUAGGAGAACGACUACCUAGCUUCGAAUCAGGUGGUCGGGAGUUCGAGUCUCUCCGGGCGCGCCA